rnacentral:misc_RNA from 1 species
GAUGAAGAACGCAGCGAAAUGCGAUAAGUAAUGAGAAUUGCAGAAUUCAGUGAAUCAUCGAAUCUUUGAACGCACAUUGCGCCCCCUGGAAUUCCGGGGGGCAUGCCUGUUCGAGCGUCUCAGGGACGAACCCUCGCGCGGGUGUACGCGCGGUCGUGGCUGCGGUGGCGUGCCCGAGGCGGCGGCCACCGCGCUGGAAUCCAUGGGCGGACGCCUGCCGCGUGGCCGAGCGUGAUAUGACGCAUUGGCGCUCGCACGCGGAGAGGCUGCCAGCCCUGGCCCGUCUGUCGGGCGGGGGAGAGCAAGACACGUGAACUCCUCGAAUCAGGUAGGGAUACCCGCUGAACUUAAGCAUAUCAAUAAGCGGAGGA